CCCACACAAACCAAACAAACAGGAACCCCUCUGGUUUCUUGCUAAGAGAUAAAAUCUAUUGCUUAAAAUCAGAAGACUCGCAAGUGGUGGAGCCAGGCUGCGAACUGGGAACCUGUGGUGUCUGGAUCCGGAGUGAUUCGUGUUGGACACAAAAGAAAAUCCAACGAAGAAUUCUGAAUCUGAGAAGGUUGUGGUUCUUGUCGUAGUUCUUCUGUGGAUGAGGCUUAGAACUGAUAACUAUCCAAGAUGUGGAUCCAAGGAGUUCUAGACCACGGGGCUGACUCAUAACUUGGGCAAUAGUGACUGGACUACCUCUGUGCUCAGCUCAUCCCCCUGAGUCCCGAUGCUGUCUCUGCUGUGGUCCUACAGAAGCAAUCAGUGAUGAGAUGAUCUCCUUUCUCUGCACCUUUGCUGUCUUACGUGUCAUGGAGCAGGACCAAGUCCCAGGAUGCAAUCAGAGCAUCUCCUAUUCUAGUGAUGCUGCCUUCACUGAAAAUAGUCUCGAUAGUCAAAAGCCUGUAACACAAUCUUCCCAUUGUCUUCAAAGGCAUCAUUCAUUUGUUGUUUGCAUGUGAAUUUGACAUCCUCCCCUACAAGUUCUUAUUAACCAGUGAUCAAACCAGCUUUUUUUUUUUUUGUAUUUUGUAUCAAAACGAAAGCAGGAUUUUAAGGUAAUAAAAUAUCACUUUUUUUUUCCCUCUAGUCUAUAACAGCAACAAUUCACUCCAAAGGAGUGGACUGAACAGUGACAGUAUCACUAAAAAAUGCAAAAAUUUCUAGGAAUUCUCUGAUAUCCCUGACACUUCAGGGGUUCACCUUAAAUGGAAGGCAGUCUGUUUACCCGGCCUGAUUAGUAGAUUUUGUCUGAUUUCUGUGAAGUUAGGCACUAAGGACAUGUGUUCAGAAAAUGCAAAGGCUGCAGCUGAUGUGAAAUCAAGCUAAUAAUGUACCUACUGGUGAGGUCCAGCCGCUUUGUCACGAGCAGUCAGAGCUCUGCUUGAAAGGUCUGCUUCCCAUGCUCUAAGUUCCAACCAAUUAGAGCCCAGAUAUCUGAUUACAUUACAUACGCUUUCUCCUUUUUCUAAUGAAAUUUCCCUCAUGGUAUAUAUGUUUAAUACCUUGGUUGUGGCUACAGUAUGCAUAUGUCUAAACUUGCCCACCUGUGUGCGUCAAAUGUACACAGCUUGUGUAUAUGCAUUGCGUCUAAAUAAAGCCUUUUAAAACCUC